rnacentral:lncRNA from 1 species
UGAAGUGACCAUGCAGAGGCAAUACGAGGCAGGCCAGAGGAUAGAGCAGACGUGGAAUGGGAGCAGAAGAUACAGAGGCCCCAGGGUUCAUCUGGGAAGACUGGUGUCACCUAUCAGGAGACAGGGCCAAUUACAACAUCUCGGAGAUGGAGGGCUGGCGACAUGUGGUGCUGGGCAUGGCUCUACUUCUCCCUGCUUCCAGGGACAACUGAGCAUUACAGGCUGAACACAGGGGAUGUAUGUGGAUCUCAAGGUCACGCAACUGGGAAGGUGCACACCAGGGCACCAUCUCAAGCCAUAUGAACUCCGAGUCUCUGCUUUUCCAGCUACGCAAUAGUAUUCUUUUUUGGAGGAGGAGCAGCAGGCUAUAUGCCUAG